rnacentral:tRNA from 1 species
GCCCCCGUAGCUCAAUGGACAGAGCAAUACCCUUCUAAGGUAAAGAUGGGGGUUCGAUUCCUCCCGGGGGCACCA